CUUGGUCCUGUAAAACAUAUAUUUGAACACCUUCACUGUCCCACGCGAUUCUAAAGGCGAUAAAAACCAAUUAAAAAUAUUUUUUAGGUUCUCAACAUGAGUAGUACUUCAAUGAAAUGAAUGAAUUAUUUUUGAGACGUUAUAGAAUGUACUUGGAGACCAAAAAAUGGCUAUCCAGAGUUAACCAGGACGUCUUAGAGUUCGACCAGUUGGAGAUGCAAUUCAAACCCUUUCCGGAACUAGAUACAAAAACUUUAUUUUAGCCAAUGAAUCGACCUUAUUGAUGUUAUACAGAUUGUCUCUUCAAUAAUGAAAAAAAAAAACAACAAAAACUUAACUGCAGACUGUUGACUAUGGUAUUUGUUAUUAAAAAAUUCACAAACCCCUCUUCGAAUUCUUAUUUUAUUAAUUAAAUUAAAAUCCCUUGUCCAACAAGAUGCCACACGACCCCCUUUCUCACUUAACAUCUUCGAGGGGGGUUCGAACUGUCAAUUACAAAUUUUCUUAUUAAAUAUUUUUUUUUUAAA